rnacentral:lncRNA from 1 species
GUGUGGUGUCGGGAGGUGAGGCCUAAGGGGAAGCAUUCGUGUCCCGAGAGCUCCACCCUCACGAACAGAAAUGUGUUUGAGCACGCAAUGGACAGGAGCCUCCUCAAUCUCAAGAGCGAAGUCUCCUCCUGGAAUGGUUUAAAGGUCUUCGGCUACAGGGAAUGAAUAAAUAUCCAACCACCAGAUGCAAUACUUCUGGGUAAAGCUCCUGCAGCGAGCUUCGCAGGCUUCCUGGCACAGCGCCCCCCUCGCCGCCGAGCGGCACUGCAGGCAGGGCGCCGGACUCGCCUCCCAUCCGUGCCCUGCGCCUCCCUAGACUUGCACUUCGGGCCACUGUCAGACAGAGUCUCACUAUGUAGCCCAGGCUGGCCUCGAACUCGGCGAUCCUCCUACCUCAGCCUCCCGAAUGCUGGGAUCACAGGCGUGCGCCACCACGUAAACAUCUCUCCUACCGGUCACUGUUUCAAACCCCGUAAGGACCAUGCUGUUUAUCACGUGUAGUAGAAUAAUGACCCUUUCCCGGCGGCCCUUGCUGGAAACCUGGACGCUGUGAAUGAGGACUUUGUAUAAGGCGAGGUGACGGAGCU